rnacentral:snRNA from 1 species
UUGCUUACCUGGAAUGGUCAUAAAAGUUGUUUUUCAAGGGUGAGAUUUAUCCAUUGUACUUAGGGGGUGCUGAUCCCUGAGAUUACCCCAUAUGUGAGAAAUUCGACUGCAUAAUUUGUGGGACUGAGACUGUGUUCACACCUUCCCC